rnacentral:misc_RNA from 1 species
AUUCCGUAGGUGAACCUGCGGAAGGAUCAUUGUCGAAACCUGCCCAGCAGAACGACCCGCGAACUUGUAUAAACAACCGGGGGCGGGGGGCGUUCUCGCCCCGUGCCCCCGAACGGCGGGGAGACACUCGUGCCUUCUUGCCGAACAACGAACCCCGGCGCGGUCUGCGCCAAGGAACUUCAACUAAAGAGUGCCUCCGGUCGCCUCGGAAACGGCGUGCGUGCCGGGGGCGAAUCUUGUGCAAAACCAUAACGACUCUCGGCAACGGAUAUCUCGGCUCUCGCAUCGAUGAAGAUCGCAGC